GAGUUUGAUCCUGGCUCAGGAUGAACGCUGGCGGCGUGCUUAAUACAUGCAAGUCGAACGGAGGACUUUUGUAGUAAUACAGGAGUUUCUCAGUGGCGAACGGGCGAGUAACGAGUUGGUGACCUGCCCCGAAGUGUGGGAUAACAGUCCGAAAGGAUUGCUAAUACCGCAUGUGAUCAUCGGUUUUAGAAUCUGAUGAUUAAAGCAGCAAUGCGCUUCGGGAGGGACCUGCUUCCCAUCAGCUAGUUGGUGAGGUAAUGGCCCACCAAGGCUACGACGGGUAAGGGACCUGAGAGGGUGGUCCCUCGCAAUGGCACUGAAACACGGGCCAUACACCUACGGGUGGCAGCAGUAGGGAAUAUUGGGCAAUGGGCGAAAGCCUGACCCAGCAACGCCGCGUGCACGAUGAAGGCCUUCGGGUCGUAAAGUGCUUUUCUGAGGAAUGAGUAAGGACAGUACCUCAGGAAUAAGCCUCGGCUAACUACGUGCCAGCAGCCGCGGUAAAACGUAGGAGGCAAGCGUUAUCCGGAUUUACUGGGCGUAAAGCGUGUGUAGGCGGUUCGGCAAGUUGGAUGUGAAAGCUCCUGGCUUAACUAGGAGAGGUCGUUCAAUACUACCGAACUUGAGGGCAUCAGAGGAAGGUGGAAUUCCCGGUGUAGUGGUGAAAUGCGUAGAUAUCGGGAGGAACACCAGUGGCGAAGGCGGCCUUCUGGGAUGUUCCUGACGCUCAGACACGAAAGCUAGGGUAGCGAACGGGAUUAGAGACCCCGGUAGUCCUAGCAGUAAACGAUGUAGACUUGGUGUCGGAGGUGUCAAAACCUUCGGUAUCGUAGCUAACGCGAUAAGUCUACCCGCCUGGGGACUACGGCCCGCAAGGUUAAAACUCAAAGGAAUUGACGGGGGCCCGCACAAGCAGCGGAGCGUGUGGUUUAAUUCGAUGUUUACACGAGGACCCUUACCCAGGUUUGACAUGUUGGUGGUAGGAAUUCCAAAUGGUGACCGACCCGCAUAGGGAGCUUCACAGGUGCUGCAUGGCCUGCCGCACUCGUGGUCGGGGAUGUGUC
rnacentral:rRNA from 1 species